rnacentral:rRNA from 1 species
CAGGGCGCAGCUGAUCCAGCAUGCCGCGUGUGCGAAGAAGCCUUAUGGUUGUAAAGCACUUUAAGCGAGGAGGAGGCUACUUAGAUAAUACCUAGAGAUAGUGGACGUUACUCGCAGAAUAAGCACCGGCUAACUCUGUGCCAGCAGCCGCGGUAAUACAGAGGGUGCAAGCGUUAAUCGGAUUUACUGGGCGUAAAGCGCGCGUAGGCGGCUAAUUAAGUCAAAUGUGAAAUCCCCGAGCUUAACUUGGGAAUUGCAUUCGAUACUGGUUAGCUAGAGUGUGGGAGAGGAUGGUAGAAUUCCAGGUGUAGCGGUGAAAUGCGUAGAGAUCUGGAGGAAUACCGAUGGCGAAGGCAGCCAUCUGGCCUAACACUGACGCUGAGGUGCGAAAGCAUGGGGAGCAAACAGGAUUAGAUACCCUGGUAGUCCAUGCCGUAUACGAUGUCUACUAGCCGUUGGGGCCUUUGAGGCUUCAGUGGCGCAGCUAACGCGAUA